rnacentral:rRNA from 1 species
GACGAACGCUGGCGGCGUGCUUAACACAUGCAAGUCGAGCGGUAAGGCCCCUUCGGGGGUACGACGAGCGGCGAACGGGUGAGUAACACGUGGGUGACCUGCCCUCAGCUCUGGGAUAAGCCUGGGAAACUGGGUCUAAUACCGGAUAUGACUCCAUGACGCAUGUCGUGGGGUGGAAAGCCUUGUGCGGCUGGGGAUGGGCCCGCGGCCUAUCAGCUUGUUGGUGGGGUGAUGGCCUACCAAGGCGACGACGGGUAGCCGGCCUGAGAGGGCGACCGGCCACACUGGGGACUGAGACACGGCCCAGACUCCUACGGGAGGCAGCAGUGGGGAAUCUUGCGCAAUGGGCGAAAGCCUGACGCAGCGACGCCGCGUGAGGGAUGACGGCCU